GCGUUAGUAUAGUAGUGGUUUCUAACUAGCCGCCCCCCCAAGGCGGAGACGGGAGUUCGAAUCUCCCCUAACGCA
rfam:Glarea lozoyensis 74030 unplaced genomic scaffold M7I_scaffold33, whole genome shotgun sequence.